GUAGGGAAUAUUGGGCAAUGGUCGGAAGACUGACCCAGCCAUGUCGCGUGCAGGAAGACGGCCCUCUGGGUUGUAAACUGCUUUUAUCUGGGAAGAAAAAGGCCAUGCGUGGCAAAUUGCCGGUACCAGAUGAAUAAGCACCGGCUAACUCCGUGCCAGCAGCCGCGGUAAUACGGAGGGUGCGAGCGUUGUCCGGAUUUAUUGGGUUUAAAGGGUGCGUAGGCGGCUGAUUAAGUCAGCGGUGAAAGACUUCGGCUUAACCGGAGCAGUGCCGUUGAUACUGGUUGGCUUGAGUGUCGGAGGGGCACAUGGAAUUGAUGGUGUAGCGGUGAAAUGCAUAGAUACCAUCAGGAACACCGAUAGCGAAGGCAUUGUACUGGCCGACAACUGACGCUGAUGCACGAAAGUGUGGGGAUCGAACAGGAUUAGAUACCCGAGUAGUCC
rnacentral:rRNA from 1 species